GUUCUGAACGGAGGAAGAUGAUCUAGUCUUUGUUCCACGCGCUGAGAAGGGGACUUGGGGAUUCGGUUGAGCCAGGAGAAUGGGAAACUUUCUACGUGGAAUACGUAGAACGCCCUGUUCUUUGGAUGCACACGGGAGGUUGGUUUCAGUUGGGAACAGAGGAUCUUUGAGAGUGAUGCUAGAUUUAGAACUGUGAACGGUUGCGGCUCUAAUCCGGAACAAGGAAA
rnacentral:lncRNA from 1 species